UUAACAAAAAAUAUAUAUAAUAUAAUUAAAUAAUAUAUAAAUAAUAAUAAUAAUAAGUAUUUUAAUAUCCAGGUGUGCAACGUUUUCAAAGUUUGUGUGUAGUUGGGGGACAAUUGUUUUUAUAUUGAAUCCAUGUUGACUCACGCUGUGACACAACAAACUGUUGAAUAAGUUCAGGGGUAUGAAUAUGUUCUGAAGGCACUAUUUCAAAAUGCCCUCAAAUAAAAGUUGACAUUCUAUACUGUCGCCUCAAACAUUUGAUCUCUAUUCCAAAAUGCUGUGGUAUAGAACCAAAUAUAAAGUUUUAGCUUCACUGUCCAAAUAAAUACGCAGUGGAGUGUAUGCAAUUAUCUGACAAGCCUUGAAAUCUCAAUGACAAAUCCACAGAAAGGUUUGUAGUUUUCUCAAUUUGUUAUUUGCAGCUGAAUAAGCUGAUUGAGAAGAACUACUACCUGCACAAGUCAGCCCAGGAGGCCUACAAGUCCUAUGUGCGGGCGUACGACUCUCAUUCCCUCAAAGCGAUCUACAGUGUCAACACGCUCAACCUCCCCAUGGUUGCACAGUCUUUCGGCUUUACUGUGCCUCCCUACGUCGACCUCAACGUUCACAGCAAAGGAGGACUGAAGAUGACGAAGAGGGGUGGAGGUGGCGGCUUCGGCUACCAGAAGGGCAAGCCCGCUCACAAAGCCAAAAUCUUCAAGCACGUCAACAAAGGCAAGGGGGACAAGAGGCAAUUCUCACGCUGACCUGCGGUCCUUGGGGGGCCACCACAAAAUGGCUUCCUGACCUGGACGCACUCCCCUCUCAAUCUCUAUCUUAUCUAGAGACCCUGUAAUGGGCGUCAUGUCUCGCUCCCUAUUUGUAUGUGUUAGAACAGUCUCUUGCUACCUGUCGGAGGCCCAAUUUCCGCUUCAAUGCCUCCACCUGUCUUUCUGGACAGGUAUUUUGUAUCUAGUGACAGGACUCUCUGUGGGCUAAUAACUGUUGAGACAGCCCUGCAGUCCUUUACUCACAGAAGAUGUGGAUUUUUAAAUAUGGACUGUCUUUGAUUUAAUUAUACAGAACUGUACAUUGCUAAAUGUAUUUCCAUGAUUUUCAUCCUUCUACUUUACUGGCUAAUUAAAACGUUUAUAUACACCCACA